rnacentral:rRNA from 1 species
AGAGCUUGCUCUGUGGAUCAGUGGCGAACGGGUGAGUAACACGUGAGCAACCUGCCCUGGACUCUGGGAUAAGCGCUGGAAACGGCGUCUAAUACUGGAUACGAGACGUGGCCGCAUGUUCAACGUUUGGAAAGAUUUUUUGGUUCAGGAUGGGCUCGCGGCCUAUCAGCUUGUUGGUGAGGUAAUGGCUCACCAAGGCGUCGACGGGUAGCCGGCCUGAGAGGGUGACCGGCCACACUGGGACUGAGACACGGCCCAGACUCCUACGGGAGGCAGCAGUGGGGAAUAUUGCACAUUGGGCGAAAGCCUGAUGCAGCAACGCCCCGUGAGGGAUGACAGCCUUCGGGUUGUAACCCUCUUUUAGCAAGGAAGAAGCGAAAGUGACGGUACUUGCAGAAAAAGCGCCGGCUAACUAAGUGCCAGCAGCCGCGGUAAUACGUAGGCGCGCAAGCGUUAUCCGGAAUUAUUGGGCGUAAAGAGCUCGUAGGCGGUUUGUCGCGUCUGCUGUGAAAACUGGAGGCUCAACCUCCAGCCUGCAGUGGGUACGGGCAGACUAGAGUGCGGUAGGGGAGAUUGGAAUUCCUGGUGUAGCGUUGGAAUGCGCAGAUAUCAGGAGGAACACCGAAGGCGAAGGCAGAUCUCU